rnacentral:rRNA from 1 species
GUCGGGGACAACCACUGGAAACGGUGGCUAAUACCGGAUGUGCCGAGAGGUAAAAGGCUUGCUGCCUGAAGAUGAGCUCGCGUCUGAUUAGCUAGUAGGUGUGGUAAGAGCGCACCUAGGCGACGAUCAGUAGCUGGUCUGAGAGGAUGAUCAGCCACACUGGGACUGAGACACGGCCCAGACUCCUACGGGAGGCAGCAGUGGGGAAUUUUCCGCAAUGGGCGAAAGCCUGACGGAGCAAUACCGCGUGAGGGAGGAAGGCUCUUGGGUUGUAAACCUCUUUUCUCAAGGAAGAACACAAUGACGGUACUUGAGGAAUCAGCAUCGGCUAACUCCGUGCCAGCAGCCGCGGUAAUACGGAGGAUGCAAGCGUUAUCCGGAAUGAUUGGGCGUAAAGCGUCCGCAGGUGGCGAUGUAAGUCUGCUGUUAAAGAGUGAGGCUCAACCUCAUAAGAGCAGUGGAAACUACAUAGCUAGAGUGCGGUAGGGGCAGAGGGAAUUCCUGGUGUAGCGGUGAAAUGCGUAGAGAUCAGGAAGAACACCGGUGGCGAAAGCGCUCUGCUAGGCCGCAACUGACACUGAGG